GAACCAAAACCACCAGAAGAAACAGCUUCUGAGCCAGCCAGUGUAUCUAGUGUGUUCCUUCAAUACCUGUUCAGGAUGCAGAUAGAGGCAUCUUCUGCAGGACCAGGAGGAGCCUGGGGAUGAACUUGCCCCAUAUUUCUACCAGCAUCUCCAGACAGAGCUGCAGAGCUCUGUGCCAACAACCCCUCCAGCACCCACGUACCCAGGAACGAUUGCCUGGUUGCAGUUAUCUCCAUCACCUCCGCAGCGCUGCAGAAGGUAGCAAAGGUCGAUGCUGGCUAAUUCAGAGAUGACUUGAUGUUCCCAUGCUGCGGACCAUCCCAGCCGUGACACCACCGUACCUUUGACUACCUGGCUGUCGCCGAGGAUCGACACCCAGUAGAGGACUGUGACUAUGGUGCCACCGAUGGAGCCAGCGCAUCUGACUUCAGUGGGCAAGGCUCCAUCAAAAGGCGUUGCUGACCUCCCUCACCAUCUGUCACACCAGCGAGGAGAGGAUGGAGUUGAAGGAUCCCUGAACAAGCAGGCUCUGCGGCUGGACCUGACAAAGCAUGGCUGGAGGGAAGACCACCUACUGCCUUUUUGUGCUGAUGCGUGGGUCUCACCAGUGAGCCAGCCUACCCCAAAAAGUCUUCGAUGGUGCUGAAACCAGUCCUUCAGCUGGGGAUCCUUCACAGAGCUCCCCAUGACCCUGCUGUGACUUGACCAAGGGGGUCCUCCUGCAGCACUGCCCAGGGUGCCCGGCACUGCCUCCCGUGUGUGUCCAGCCGUGCCACAGCGGGCCCCUGGAGCAUCGCGGCUCUCCCAUGGCAGCAGCACGUGUGCAGUGCGAUGCAGGCAGGUUGCAGCUGCUUCCCUGUGUGCGCAGGCAGGAAAGGAGUUUUCUGAGGUAAGAGCACAAACAACUAGCAGAGCAGCGUUUUGGCUCGGGAAAAGCAGAUUUUCCAGUGGCUAGGGAUGCGUUUUGUGCCGUGCUAGAAGUGCUAAUGAUGAUGGUUUCAGUAAGAUUGGAUCUUGGGAUCUUGUUUUGCUCUGCCAAGAUGUCUUACAAACUUGUCUUAGGAGCUAAAUUUAAAGGGUGAUCGUCCAGAAAGGGCUACAGAGCAGGUCUCUGAAGUCUCUGCCUGUCCUAUGGGCAUUAACAUUGUUUGUAUGUUUUCUUAGUAUUGGUUGUAAGGGUUACUGUGGGAUCCAGUCUCAGCCUGGAGUCUGCUCCUGGGAUGGCUGUUUUUCAAGGGCAGAACGCGAGCAGCCAGGCUGUAGGCAGAGCUCAUGCACAGCCCUUGAAUUUGAGCUCCUGAGAGCAAGAGCUGGGCAGGACUAUGCUUUGCCUGGGCCAGUGAUGAAGAUGAAGCCAUGCUCGUUCGUUUGCUGUGGUCAGCCCAGAGCUGCUCUGUUAGCUCUCAGCAGGGUUAUUAGCAUCCUUCAAGCUGACUUUGAGGAAGAAGGAAAGGUUUAUUUGCUCUGCAAAUCCUGGUCCAUGCAGCUCUCCCUCCAUCACUCUUUCGCUGCGUCUUUGCUUGGGCAAGCAAGGUGCCACCUUCUUUUGUGGUAGACCUAAGGAUCCUUGGACCAAAGGACCCUGUUCCCUCCGUGCAGGUACCAGGGGCUACAUGGCUUGGCAAAUGACACCCUUGCAACAUCCUGAUGUCUCCUGCUCUGGAGCAUGUGUUACAGUCCAAAGGCAUCCAUUUGGUAUCUCUGGAAGCCUCUUCUAAGCGAGGCUGUGAUGGGACUGCUGCUUGUAGUUGUAGUUGAUGGCAGGUCCAACUUGAUCGACCGAUGUGGUCCAACUUGACUCUCCCUGGAUAAUUCAGGAAGGGAUUUGGAAGCAUACUUUCUACUUAAUACCUAAAUCAUACAAAAGACUGGUGGGAUUUAGGUGCUAUGUGACUUUUGGAGGACUGAGCAUCUGAGCUGUCCUGAAGUGGGAGUGGGGACACCAAGGGGACUUUGCUGCUUUCUGAGGGCACCAAAUGCAUCUCAGCGAGGUUUCUUUGGUCUUUCCCCACUCAGUAACAUCAAAGGAGGCUGCUGGUGGAAACAAAUAAAGACCUCAUCGUGGGAGAGUGGCGGGAGCCC
ensembl:lncRNA